UGCAUUUGAUGAUCGUGAUGGAGGCAGAGAGUGCUGCUGAUCGCGAUCCAGAUCCGGGUCAAGAAUCACCUCCUGAUCCUAAGGAAACCUCAGCUGACGUAGAUCUACGUUCUCUUCGCGUGAACGCUCAGUCUGUGUUGGCUUGGGCCACAGAGCGUUCCGAAUCCCAGCCGCUAAAGACCCACAGAAGGCAAGAAACUUGCGUUGCAAAGCUGCUGUCCCGCCUGACUGCGGAGAAAGAAGACUCGUUUAUGGUUGUUCUACAGCCGCUGCUGACGUCCAUCAGCUCUGUCCUGCUCCCAGCAGCAGAUAAGCCUGGAUUUCAAUGAGUCGUGUCCCAACUCCGGUGUGAACGAUUUCCUGACGUCAAGACGAAGUGGGGUCAAGUCAUGGGUGUUGCAAGGAAGCUGUCACAAGAUGAUCCGGUAUUGAACGGCUACAGCACAACCGAGAGAACGAAAUGUACGUCGCAAUCAAGCUAUGUCAUUGCCAUCUUCUAUGUGCCAUGCGUUACCUGAUGUGCCAGCCUUCUAUGUCGGAUACCGCUAACCAUGCAUCGACUAGGCGCCAGGCGCGAACUGAUGGUGGUGGUAGUGGUGGGGAUGAGAAGGAGAGCUCUGUGCAAGAAUAACUUUGCAGUUUAGAGAGCGUGUCUGGGCAGGCGUGUAUUUACCGCCAUAUUGCCAGGUGUGUAUUUACCACCGUAUUAAUCAACCAUGCGCUACCUGAUGUACCAGCAUGCUAUAUCGGACACCACUCACCCUGCAUCGACUAGGCGCCAGAUGCGAACUGAUGAUGGUGGUGGUGGGAAGGAGAGCUCUGUGCCAGAGUAACUUUUUCAGUUUAGAGAGCGUGUGUGGACAGGUGUGUAUUU